ensembl:processed_transcript 5530601H04Rik uncharacterized LOC110287359
AGGAUGCCAGGGAUGAUGGGAAGCCUGGACUUGUUUAUCGUGUUUGUUCGGAACUUCACCCGCGGUACAGUACGGCCUGAGCAUUUUGUUCCAGCACCGGUGUGAGGAAAACAUCUGAGCCCAUGAAUUGCCAGAUCCUGGAUACCAGAGACACAUCGUCUUGCUUCUCAGGUUUGGAGUACAUAAUGAGGAGAAAUAAAAACAAAAAGAUCUCCAGAAAGAAGCCAUGGGUGGAGCACAGAGGACGACUAGAUUAAAUGCAAAGACUGCCCAGGCAUCCCAGUGCCCCCCAUUGACGUUCCAGAACUUCGUCAAGACAGUGAUGAGCUACAUGUCCACCUGGAGGAGAUUGGUUGUUGUAGAAACAGCACUCUUCUUGGAGGAACAGGCAAAGACCAUCUUCUUUAGCUGUCAGGACAUCUAGCCCCUGUCGGUUCUGAAGCACCACGGCUGCAAAGAAUCGAUGUUUCUGGAUAAUAAGCACAGUUUCAGUCAUUUCUUGAAGAUUGCUUUUAAACUGGGAAGUGAAUGUAUUAUAUAGGGUCAUAGAAGUUGUUAUCCCUGCAGUUCCAGUACCAGCACCUAUGGCUAUUCCCAUAGCGACCAAAAGUGGCACUACCUGAACUGG